UAAAGUGGUGUCAAACUGCAUUAUUUCUACUGUGUGGAUGCACCCUCAGUCAGCAUAGGCAAUUCUAAUGUUUAGUCAAGCUGAGAGGAUGAUCGAAGAGCUAAGCCUGAUGAUUACAUACCUGCUGUUUCAGUAAGGACAUUCUCAAAGAAAAAAGCAUUGCUGGGCUAGAAAGAUGUGUCAGAAACAUACCACCAGUGCCAUACACAUGGCUGUGAAAACAUGGUUCGGAAACUGGCAAUUAGAAGCUGGAAGAAAAAGCAAGCCAUCAAGCUCCGAAGAAAAGCUCCAAUAUCUAACCAGUGUGGUGUUUUAUAUUUUAUUGUAUGUAUUUAAUAGCUUUAAAAAGAAGUGUGUCUUUUAAAAAAUGAGGAAUUGUGACAAUCUGAACAAUUUGCCCACUUAAAAAAGUAAAAGAUUUAAAAAUCAACAGCAUGACUUGAAUUACCAGAUUACUUAAGGACAUAAGAGUACGAAUGGCAUGCAAAAUAUUACUCAUACUCUAUAAUAAAGAAGGAAAAUGCUGAACUUUUUUUACCUUAGAUCUUUUACAGAAUAAAACUGACAGUAAUAUGUUUAUUUGCGUAUGUUCUGAUGACGUUAUUUCCAUAAAAAGACAACUUCCUGGAUAAUAUAUACCUUCUUGCAUUUUUGCA